rnacentral:rRNA from 1 species
GACGAACGCUGGCGGCGUGCCUAAUACAUGCAAGUUGAGCGCUGAAGGUUGGUACUUGUACCAACUGGAUGAGCAGCGAACGGGUGAGUAACGCGUGGGGAAUCUGCCUUUGAGCGGGGGACAACAUUUGGAAACGAAUGCUAAUACCGCAUAAAAACUUUAAACACAAGUUUUAAGUUUGAAAGAUGCAAUUGCAUCACUCAAAGAUGAUCCCGCGUUGUAUUAGCUAGUUGGUGAGGUAAAGGCUCACCAAGGCGAUGAUACAUAGCCGACCUGGGAAGGUGAGCGGCCAAAAUGGGACUGGGAAACGGCCCAAACUCCUAAGGGAGGCAGCAGUAGGGAAUCUUCGGCAAUGGACGAAAGUCUGACCGAGCAACGCCGCGUGAGUGAAGAAGGGUUUCGGAUCGUAAAACUCUGUUGGUAGAGAAGAAAGUUGGUGAGAGUGGAAAGCUCAUCAAGUGACGGUAACUACCCAGAAAGGGACGGCUAACUACGUG